GGAGUUAGCCGGUGCUUCUUCUGUGAGUGAUGUCCUUCCUGCCGGCUAUUAACCCGCAGGCCUUCUUCCUCACUGAAAGUGCUUUACAACCCGAAGGUCUUCUUCACACACGCGGCAUGGCUGGAUCAGGGUUGCCCCCAUUGUCCAAUAUUCCCCACUGCUGCCUCCCGUAGGAGUCUGGGCCGUGUCUCAGUCCCAGUGUGGCUGAUCAUCCUCUCAGACCAGCUACGGAUCGUCGCCUUGGUGAGCCGUUACCUCACCAACCAGCUAAUCCGACAUAGGCUCAUCCGAUAGCGCGAGGCCCGAAGGUCCCCCGCUUUCCCCCGUAGGGCGUAUGCGGUAUUAGCCUGGGUUUCCCCAGGUUAUCCCCCACUACCGGGCAGAUUCCUAUGCAUUACUCACCCGUCCGCCGCUCGCCACCAGGGAGCAAGCUCCCCGUGCUGCCGCUCGACUUGCAUGUGUUAGGCCUGCCGCCAGCGUUCAAUCUGAGCCAGAAUCAAACUCUGA
rnacentral:rRNA from 1 species